UACAGAGGGUGCAAGCGUUAAUCGGAAUUACUGGGCGUAAAGCGUGCGUAGUCGGUUAUCUAAGUCGGGUGUGAAAUCCCCGGGACUCAACCUGGGAAUUGCAUUCGAUACUGGAUAGCUAGAGUUCGGCAGAGGGAAGCGGAAUUUCGGGUGUAGCGGUGAAAUGACGUAGAUAUCCGAAGGACAUCAGUGGCGAAAGCGGCUUCCUGGACCAGAACUCGACGAUCAGGCACGAAAGCGUGGGGAGCAAACAGGGAUUAAGAAACCC
rnacentral:rRNA from 1 species